GUUUUGGUGGUGUAGUGGUUAUCACGUCUGUCUUACAUUGCUAAAUGUUCACAGACGGUCCUCGGUUCGAUCCCGGGCCAAAGCA